GUGCCAGCAGCCGCGGUAAUACGUAGGUGGCAAGCGUUAUCCGGAAUUAUUGGGCGCAAAGCGCGCGUAGGCGGUUUUUUAAGUCUGAUGUGAAAGCCCACGGCUCAACCGUGGAGGGUCAUUGGAAACUGGAAAACUUGAGUGCAGAAGAGGAAAGUGGAAUUCCAUGUGUAGCGGUGAAAUGCGCAGAGAUAUGGAGGAACACCAGUGGCGAGGGCGACUUUCUNGGUCUGUAACUGACGCUGAUGUGCGAAAGCGUGGGGAUCAAACAGGAUUAGAUAC
rnacentral:rRNA from 1 species